rnacentral:sRNA from 1 species
UUUUUUUUUCAUUUUUUUU